rnacentral:rRNA from 1 species
AGUGAACGCUGGCGGUAGGCCUAACACAUGCAAGUCGAACGGCAGCACAGUAAGAGCUUGCUCUUACGGGUGGCGAGUGGCGGACGGGUGAGGAAUACAUCGGAAUCUACUUUUUCGUGGGGGAUAACGUAGGGAAACUUACGCUAAUACCGCAUACGACCUACGGGUGAAAUCAGGGGAUCUUCGGACCUUGCGCGAUUGAAUGAGCCGAUGUCGGAUUAGCUAGUUGGCGGGGUAACGGCCCACCAAGGCGACGAUCCGUAGCUGGUCUGAGAGGAUGAUCAGCCACACUGGAACUGAGACACGGUCCAGACUCCUACGGGAGGCAGCAGUGGGGAAUAUUGGACAAUGGGCGCAAGCCUGAUCCAGCCAUACCGCGUGGGUGAAGAAGGCCUUCGGGUUGUAAAGCCCUUUUGUUGGGAAAGAAAAGCAGCAGGUUAAUACCCCGCUGUUCUGACGGUACCCAAAGAAUAAGCACCGGCUAACUUCGUG